GCUUUCAUUCUAGCUCACUCUUAUUUAGGCAUUUACUAUAUACAUAAUUUCUUUUAAUCCUCAUGACAAACCCAUGAGGGAGGUGCAGUAAUUAUCUCCAAAGUGACAGAUGAGGCACAGGAAGCCUUAGGACAUUGUCUAAGGUCACACAGCUGGUAGAUGGAGGAACUGGAAUUUGAACCCAGGUUUAUCUGACCCUAAAAUAUAUGCAUUUAACCAGUAUAUAUACUGCCUCCCUUAAAUUAGUAUUUCUAGCUUUUCUGUGAGCCUGCAAUUCUCUAGUGGCAAGCCACAAUAAUAGCCACGCCCUGAACAUACACUGCAUGCCAGACUCCAUACCAGAAGGUGGAGCUGAGUUUUCUCAUGCUGGAACUGCUUUUUCUUACAAGCUAAACCAUGGGAGGGAUCUUGGGUGGGAAGAAGCACUUCCUGCUUAUAAUAUAAGCCAAAAAGAGAUUCCCACAGUAUGAAGCCCACAGUCUUUCCUGUGUAAUGACAUUAUGAAGACCUCAGGCAGAAUCUCCACCUAUUGUGCAUUUUUGUGUAAUACCUUUAUACUGUAAAUUAGUUAGAGAUACAGACUUGAAACCCCUACUUUGACCCAAAACACCUAGACACAAGAGGGAAUGGUCUUUUGUUUUAUUUUCCUGGUCAGAGUUCUGUAGUUUCCUUAUCAAUGUUGCUCACCCUGGGUGUUGCCUCUUUGAAUUCAGAUUUGUGUGAAUGAGAUUUUCUAAAAGAAACCUUGGUAACUAAGAGACAGUUUCUAUCUCUACCUUCUUCUGGUGGACUCCAAUCCUGGCUCUCCAGCUGCCUUGCCUUUGUGUUUUAGGGAUUCAGAAUCAGGAUGCGAUCAUGGCCCAAUCACAGAACUGAACAUUUCUGAGUUCCUCAGUAUCCAAAAGGAAGGGCAUUUCAGAUGUUAGAUAACUGUCCUUUAUUCACUGUCUGAUAGAAAUUUAAUGGUUACAAAGGGGUUUGUUUUUAUGUUUUUAGUUUUAUUAUUUUUAGUUUAUUUCUAGCACUAGAAAAUAAGCCUGAAAAUCUGGAAAGGGAAAGGCCAAACCAAUCGCAGUUGCCCUGGAAUUGUGGGGGCAUUCCCAAUAACGAAUGUCUAGAUGGUGUGUUUAUUCCAGUUCCAAUCCAAUCCAAUUCAAUGAGUAUUUGUCGAAUGCCUGCUGUGAAUAAGAUAAAGAAUGAAUAAGGCAUGGCUCUCACUCUCCAGGAGUUCACACUGUAAUGGGAAAUUGACAUGUGCACUGUUAAUUCUCAUACAAAGAAGGCAAUAAUAAAGGUCUAUACAGAAGUUUAAACAAGGUAUUACGGGAAUAUUGGAGGAGUAAAAAAUUAUUUCAAAUUAGAGUAUCUGGAAGUAUGCUGUUUGAAAGAAGGUGAUUUUGAGCUUUGUCUUAAAGGGGUGAUGAGAUUAUUAUAGGAAGACAUUGAGAUGAAAGGUAGUUUAGGUUGAAGAACCAAACAUUCUGCAGGUGUGCAAUCCCAGGAAAUGCAUGGCAAUUAGUCUGGUAAGGUGGAGAGCAGUAUGGCAUACAACUGGAGAGGUAAGUCCGACCCAGUUUAUGAAGAGCUUUGAAUACUAGACUAAGAGUGUGGACUUGCUCUGUAGAUUAAGGGGACUCUUGAAUACCCACCCCUCAAAAUCACAAAGGAGUCUGUUUCCUGUCAUCAUAGCACUUGGUUCUUUCUCAGUAGCCCCUUUUACAGACAAAUUCCUUCUAGUUACAUUUGUACUCAUUUGGUAAAGAUUCUCUGUGAGAAAUACUUGACUUUAAAAAACGUGACACAUAAGUUGAUUUAAACAUCUCUGAUAUAUCAAUAAUGUAUUUUAUUCAUUUCUCUCCCCAAUAGUGUAUGUAACUACAUAUACUUUGUAUAAUCAUUGACUAUGAUUACAGUCUGUGUUGAUAUAACCUAAGAGUGGUUAUGCAUGAUCUGGGUGGUAUUGCAUCUGAAAUUUAUCCUACUCUGUAAUAUGUUCCAUUGAGCUUACACCAAACCAGUCUAGCUAUGCCAUCAGGUUUCUCUUUACCAGCUCUAUUUAUGGUCUUUCUCUGACAUUCCUAUAAGAAUGUCAGGUUAAAUUAUAUCAGACGCUUCUCUCUCCAAGAUAUGUUAACUUUGCUCCAUCCUCUUUCACCAUUCAGCUUGUCAUUCUAUCAUGAACAGGAAUUAGCUUCGUUUGGCAUGAUUUGUGUUUGAAGAAUCUGUAUUGACUACUGUUUAUCACUUGGGUUUCCUCUAGAUACUCAUAAAUGACUGCCUUAAUAAUUGUCCUCACAGCUUACCAGAUAUUGAAAUUAAAUUUAUGAGUUUAAUUCCCUGAGUUCCCUGGGGACUUUUUUUUUUUUAAAAGAAAAAUGGAACACGGCAGUUUCAUGACUCACAACAACUCUUCCAUAAUAACCAAUGUGAUAAAAACAUUUUUUCAGGAAACAAAUUUCAGUUUUAGCCUUCCAAAUGAUUAUUACAAAAAUUAACAAAUAAUAAAAAAAUUGAAAUACUAAAAGACAUCCUGUAUCCUCUCUUAAACUGUUUGUUUAUUGUACUCACAUGUAUUCUUAAGUGCCGUAAAAGAUGCCUAGAAAUCAUUAAUCCACUAGUAUGUAGUCCUUACUUGGUGCUGGCCACUGAAAAUUUGGUCUUUUUAUAUACAAAUUGUUACACACAUGAAAAAUAGCCCAAUAAUGGCACUUUUUAUAGCUUAUUUCAUAAGUACUCUUAGACAUAUGCUAAAGUAUUGUUACAGGUUGCUGAGGCAACCCGCCUGCUACAGUUGUGGUUAACUCUACAAUUUACUGAUAAUGCUGACCUGAGACUUGAGUCUUACCUUCACUGCAUGCAGUACAGGUGUACUGUAGGUAGGCCAUGGGUGGACCAUAGCUACCUCUAAAUCUUUACAGAAGAUUUCGAAUGUGGCUUUUGUUGCAUAGAAAAUAAAUAAAAUAAAAUGAAUCUCUACAGAAGACUGGCAAGAGAUUGGUGCAUAUUUGAUAGCAAACAGUGGGAUGCUUUGAAAGGGUUGGAUAACAGAACACUGAACAACAGCAAGAGCUUUAGUGGGGUUUAGGUUUCGGUAGUUGUCCGGCCAAGACUCUGCCUGUUACUGAAGCUAGGGAUAUGUGGAGUGACCAGUUUACAUCAGUCAUAGUAGAGAAGUAAUUGCUUUUAUCUGACUAAAGCAGUCUGGACCUAGUCAACAACAUGCUGAUGCUACAGUCCCCAUUCUUGAUGUUUUAUUGGAAAGUGGUAAAACUUCUUUUUCUCACUUAGCUGGUACCACCCAUUUGCAGUGGUAUGUUCUAGAAGCAAAUCAUAUUUCAGAGCUCUUUCGUUGUGUAAUUUUUUUCAGUAGGCAUGAUGGGUAUUCUGGAAGCCGUAUCAUGGUGCCGUUUGCUUGGCUGUGUGUCAUCGUUAUAAUGCAUAGGUUUUUUACUUGUUUGUGUGAAUGUUUUUAUUCCAAAGACUGCCAUCCAGGGCCAUGCAGCAAACAAGCAAUAGGGAAAUAUUCCACUAUGCAGUCCUAUUUUGAGAUGAUAUUUAGGAUGAGAGAACAUGCAUUAGUUACCUACCAGCUUGACAGGAGUGGAUUUCCAAAUCUGACACACCAUAGCCUCAAUUCUCACCAGUGUGCUCCUGGAAAGGCCAGCUCAUGGUAAGCUCCUUAUAAUUUGUUAGUAGUGGGGAAGCCUUGAGUUUCAGGACAACGUGUUUGGAUGGCAUUUUAAGGAGCCAUUCCAUUUUUGGUAGAGUAGAAAAAGUCUGCAUCUGAGUCUUUAGUACAGUCUGUUCUCUGGAUGAACACAAUGAUUGUCUCUCUCACAUUUUUUCUGAUAUUUAUUCUGCAAAUCAGUGCAUGAGCCCCUGCCACUCUUCUAAAUAAGCUUCCAGGCAUUACCUGCAUGCUGUGUUCCUGUGGUGGGAUGGCAGUAAUCUCUGCUAAGAUAAACGGGAGCUUCUGUGGAUAAAGCGUAAACGCAGUGAAGUGUGUGUGGCUGGAAGAUUUAAUGCCUCUACAGUGCUUAGAUACAAGUUGAGCUUGGAAUUCCAGAGGUAGAGCACUGCUGAUUGGAGGCAUAUUAAAUAAAAUGUACUGUGGAAAUGAGAUAAAACC
rnacentral:lncRNA from 1 species